CCUACGGGAGGCUGCAGUGAGGAAUAUUGGUCAAUGGGCGAGAGCCUGAACCAGCCAAGUCGCGUGGAGGAAGACGGUCCUAUGGAUUGUAAACCUCUUUUGUCGGGGAGUAAAACGCGUUACGUGUACCGCUUCGCGUGUACCCUGUGAAUAAGCAUCGGCUAAUUCCGUGCCAGCAGCCGCGGUAAUACGGAGGGUGCGAGCGUUAUCCGGAUUUAUUGGGUUUAAAGGGUGCGCAGGCGGCGUGUAAAGGCAGCGGUAAAAUUUCGGGGCUCAACCCCGACAAGCCGUUGAAACUGGCGUGCUAGAGUGGGCGGGAAGUAGGCGGAAUGCGUGGUGUAGCGGUGAAAUGCAUAGAUAUCACGCAGAACUCCGAUUGCGAAGGCAGCAUGCCGGAGCGGAACUGACGCUCAGGCACGAAAGCGUGGGUAUCGAACAGGAUUAGAUACCCUUGUAGUC
rnacentral:rRNA from 1 species